rnacentral:lncRNA from 12 species
CCUUGCUGGUCACUCGGGGCUUGAGCCAGCUGAGUGGACUCUGUGGGAAGUGACUGGUCCUGGUGGCUCUCCCAGCCCCACCUCCUCCCAAGCACUGCUGAGGGUGCCCGGGCAAAGGCUCCGGCCAAUGUCCUUUGCUGGGGGCCGUGUGACACCCCAAGUUCAGGAGAGCUGGACCUGCUUCGCGUUUGCUUGUCCUUUUAAUCAGAGCAGCACUGGAGGUUCUGAUUGCUAAUCAGGGAGCACGAGGCAGAUAGAGCUCCGCAUCGUCAAACUGCCAUCAAGGUGCCUCUCUCUGUUUUCGAGAGCUGGGAAGCCAACAACAUGCUCAGGAAAUUGUUAUUUGUAUGGGGCGAGUCUUGGGGAGAAAAACACUCCUGACAUACUCUAUCUUUUCAAAGGCAGAUUUGAGGAUAAAAGUCUGUGAGUGGGAGAAAAUAGCAGUUCUAAAUGCAGCGAGGGAAAGCGAGGAUUGAUCGUCAAGGAGCAGGUGGGCGUCGGGGUUGGAAAUUCCCGGGGAAACAUCCGGGCUCUGGGGGAUUCUGGUGGGCUUCCUGCCCGGAGCCCCUCACACACGAGGGACGUCUUCCCGCUGAAGUCAGCAGGCUCGUCACCAGCACUGGACCGGCAGGGGGAACACAGACGCCGGAAAGCCAGGCUGACACACCCGCCGUGUCCGGGACGCCUGAGCUGUGUUCCUGUCAUCGCAAAGGUCCUCUCCUCUGCCGGCGAGAGAUCCAUCACUGGUCCUCCACGCCCGGCGUGCUCCGUCGUCCUCAGGGACCUGCCCUGGACGGGGCGCAGCACGCCUACCUGACCGCAUGUCCACCACCCUGCCGCUCCAAACCAGCACCCGUCCUCUGGCUGCGGCCAGUUCACAACCUGACUCAGCCCGGAACUCUCCGCCUUCAGUGCCUAGAAUGUCCCCUCGAGCAUUUUAUUUUCCACACGUGGCCGGAGAGUAAAAGGCCGAGAUGCUUUUGAAGAACUGCGUAGGUGACCUGGCCCUGCCAGAUGUCAGCUGGUAUCAAGGCUACAGUGAGGGGAUCCCGGGGGGCUCAGUGGUUUAGCACCGCCGUCGGCCCAGGGCGUGAUCCCGGGGUCCCGGGAUCGAGUCCCGCGUCGGGCUCCCUGCAUGAAGCCUGCUUCUCCCUCUGCCUGGGUCUCUGCCUCUCCCUCUAUCUGUGUCUCUUAUGAAUAAAUAAAAUCUUAAAAAAAAAAAAGCUACA